GUGCAUGCACGGCUACACAUGCAGUCGAGCGGAACGAGUUAUCUGAACCUUCGGGGAACGAUAACGGCGUCGAGCGGCGGACGGGUGAGUAAUGCCUAGGAAAUUGCCCUGAUGUGGGGGAUAACCAUUGGAAACGAUGGCUAAUACCGCAUGAUGCCUACGGGCCAAAGAGGGGGACCUUCGGGCCUCUCGCGUCAGGAUAUGCCUAGGUGGGAUUAGCUAGUUGGUGAGGUAAGGGCUCACCAAGGCGACGAUCCCUAGCUGGUCUGAGAGGAUGAUCAGCCACACUGGAACUGAGACACGGUCCAGACUCCUACGGGAGGCAGCAGUGGGGAAUAUUGCACAAUGGGCGCAAGCCUGAUGCAGCCAUGCCUCGUGUAUGAAGAAGGCCUUCCGGUUGUAUUGUACUUUCAGUCGUGA
rnacentral:rRNA from 1 species